CAAUUCACAUCUGUUACUGCAGUAUUUACAUAAACAAUGGGAUAAAGAGAAUGGAUGUAAAAAAAGGGCAUUGGUUGAAACAAGUGAAGAAUCUGCCUCAACAUCUAGAAAACGACCAAGAUUAGAUACAGAUGUUACAUUGUAAAACAUAUUUCGAUUAAAUAAUUCAAAUGUUGAGGUCUGGCCUAUACCUCGAGGAUUGCUGGCAAAGUGACUUGUAUUUUAGAUGCUAUGUAUGCUUUACGGUAGUGUUUUGUGGACAAAUAUUGUAUUCUUAGGUUGAAAUAUCAAAUGUGCAUUUUUAUGUAACAUGUAUAGAAUACAGUGGUUUUUUAUAGAUUAGUAUAAUAUAUAAUAGUUAUAUUGACUAGGUUAUGGUUAAUUAAAUACAGUAUUCUACAUGAAAAUAAUUUGUGAUUAUAAAAUCGUACACAAUAACAUA